AAGAAUUGAUAUUUUAAAUUAAUAAUAACAUUAAUUCUAUUAUUAUUAUUUAACCUUUAGUAUUAGUAUAUUUUUUUAUAAAAGCCCCCUUCACUUCCUGCUAAAUCCACACGACAACCAAAUUCCUUAAAAUUUAAAAAAUUUAGCUUGAGAGAAAUACCUUGAUAUUGGGGGUGUUACAUAGUUUCUCUCUAAAUUUUUUUUUCAUUCCAAUUGUUUUCUUCAAACCAAUCUCAUCUUCGAAGAUAGGAAGGUCUCCAACGGGUGGUGUCCCCAAUUCGGUGGAUUAUAGAUUCAGAGACGUCAACAAGAGUAAGUUCUAUGUAUCUUUUAAUUUAAAAGCAUACUUAGUUCUUUAUUUAGAACUUUGAUUCUAAAUAUUGUCAAUGUACUGGUAUUUUGGAAUUUUCAAAUUAAAAUUGAUGAAUGGUUUUGUAAAGUCUUUCACUGCCAAGAGCUUUUAUCCCUUUAGGGCACACAUACCAAUUAAACUAAUGCAAGACCUUUGCCAGUAGUUAAUGGUAGCAUCUCACAAAGUGGAAGUGGUUGGCUUACCAACGGAAGAUUUUCAAUCAUUUCUAGCAGUCCCUUUUCUGUUUGAGUAUGACCUUCCAUAUUUUCUGCUAUAUUACUUAUAGUUAAUAUCAAAUGUGCAUCUCUGCCAUCUAUGCUAAUAUCACUGCCUGAUUGCUCUUGAUGUUGAUUUGCGUUGUUCAUUUUUGUUCCCUACACAGAAAAGAAAAAAAAUUGUUUUUAUUUAUAAUCUAAGCAAUUUUAAACAAUAUAAAGCAGUAACUAAUGAAUUAAACACUAACUGUUGAGUUUCUACAGUAGAUUCUUGAAGAUGUGACUCUUGAACAGAUGGAUUCUCAUGGAUGAUCACAUGUUUGUUAUUUUGAUGGUCAUCAUUCUUGUCCAGAUUGUGAUGACUAGAAUCAUCACGAAGAUCAUCAUACAUGUUGUUAAUAUCAUCAAACAAUUGAUUUUGAUUCUAGUAUAAAAAGAAAAAAGGAUAAUAAAAAAAAUAGUUACAAAAUGAUCGUGUAUCCUUAAGCAAACAAUCGUGUAGAAUAUCUAAACGGUUGUUUUACCAAGGGUGAUCGAUAUUUCAGGUGGGAUAUGCGAUCGUUCAUAUGUGAUAUGCGAUCGUGUAAAGAUAUAUCAAACCUUUGUUCUGUCAGAAGUCGUGCUAAGAAGAGUUGAAAGCUUGUAAUAAGAUCCAUCAAAACUGAAAGAUUUUACAUCAACACGUUUCUGACACAGUAAUGCAGUAUCAAUGAGCAUCAAAUUACGUGAGAUACGUAUUAGAAAAUAUCUAACUGCUCAGUUAAUUUUUUAUGGACAUCAAAUCACCUUUUUUCAAGCUUAAGGAAGGAAAUGUCGG
rnacentral:lncRNA from 1 species